CCUACGGGGGGCAGCAGUGAGGAAUAUUGGUCAAUGGGCGCGAGCCUGAACCAGCCAAGUCGCGUGAGGGAAGACGGCCCUACGGGUUGUAAACCUCUUUUGUCGGGGAGCAAAGCGAACCACGUGUGGUUCAUUGAGAGUACCCGAAGAAAAAGCAUCGGCUAACUCCGUGCCAGCAGCCGCGGUAAUACGUAGGGGGCAAGCGUUAUCCGGAUUUACUGGGUGUAAAGGGAGCGUAGACGGCAUAGCAAGUCUGAAGUGAAAGCCCAAGGCUCAACCAUGGGACUGCUUUGGAAACUGUUAAG
rnacentral:rRNA from 1 species